CCAAGAAGGUCUGGAGCCACUGUCUCUGGCAGUCCUGGCAUUUGGUCUCAAUUGUUCUUGCCUCUUUGGUUUGUAAGCCAAGAGAAUGAAGCUUGUUCAAGUCACAGAGCAGCACAACUGUCUUGGCUGGUUGUCUGUCUCUACCUCUCUGAAGCACUCAUAAGAAUAGGGCAGGAUUUGAGGCAAUCCUACUCGGGUCAGGCCAGGCCCUCAUUGCACCCUUUUCAAUACCAUGAGAAAGCCCACCAACCCCCAGGCCCUCUUCCUUCCACUUACCUCCUAUGGUUUAUCCUCUUCUCUCUCUUUCCAACUUCCCAGCUCCUUCUCAUUCUUUGGGCAGGACUGAGAGGAAGGGGCGAAGAGAGCUGUCACCAAGAACAGCAAGUGUCACCCAGGCAGCCUUUUAGGGCUGCAUCACAAC
rnacentral:lncRNA from 1 species